CCAAUUGCAACUUUAUCUUUCAUCUUUCGGGUUCUUUUUGCAUUAGAAAUUUCACUCAAUAGUUACACUUCCCAACAAAAUUCAGAAAUUAAAAUUAUAUACGUAUUCUUAUAGCCAUGAAAGUACCGAAAAUUCCCGACUGGGUUUCCGCUCUCUCCUUGAACCAGGCAGUCCAUUCCGUCCUGGAGGAUGUGGACCAGAUCAUGUCCGUCAUCCCAGGCGUCCACCUCAUCCAGUUCCGCAACUGCACUGUGCUUCUGCCCAUCCGGGUGAAGGUCCAGUUGCAGGACUCCACAGUGAAGAAUUUGUUCUUUCUACUGAAGGCACAACAUGGCAGCGACCUGCAGGCCAUGGUGAUGAACCAGCUGAAGAUGUUCCAAAGGGAGCAACAGGUUUACCACAAUGUCCUGCCCAAGUUCGAGGCACUCUACAAGGAGGUGGGCAAGGAGGUGUCCUUUGGUCCGAGGGCAUUUAAGCUGGACUACAACAUCGGUGUUCAGUACGUGCUGCUGGAGGAUCUCAAGUCCAAACAUUACAAAAACGUUGAACGGCAGGAUGGCUUCAACAAAUUGUGCCUGAAGCAGGUGCUCAAGAAACUGGCCCAGUUCCAUGCCGCCUCCGUCGUGUGUGUGGAAAAGCAUGGCGCUUUCAGCAAACUACUGGCCAACGGAGUCUACACAAAGGCCAACCAAUCCAUCCUGCAGGAUCUGAACGAUCCGGAGACCUUCCUCUCCCAGUUGCGUCGCUGGCGUUUGGGCGAUCAUUUCCACAAACGGUUCGUGGAAAAGGAAAAGGACCUCGUCGAUGGGCUGUUGAAGCUCCAUGCCACCGACUCCAAUGAAUUUAAUGUCCUGAAUCACUGCGACUGCUGGGUAAACAACGUGAUGUUCAAGUUUGACGACACCGGCCAUGUGGAGGACACCGUCCUGCUCGAUUUCCAGUUGGUCAAAUAUGGAUCUCCUGCCCUUGAUCUGUACUACACCAUCCUGUCGUCGGCUGAAAAGGACGUAAAACUAGCCCAGUUUGACAAUAUGGUUCAGUACUACUUUUACCAUUUGCUGGAAAACCUCAGAGCCCUAAAAUUCCAAGGCAGUCUGCCGCAGCUGCAGCAUAUUCGCGAUGCCCUCAACAAAAACGGACUGGCUGCCUAUGUGGUGGUCACUCGGGCGCUGCCCAUAACGAUGAUGAAUCAGUUUGAGGACGAGGUAAACGAACGAUACGCCUCCAAAAUGAAGUGCGCCAUGUUCACCAGCCGGAAAUACAUCCAGGCGAUGAAGGAUAUCCUGCCCUGGAUGGAGGAGCGCUCACUGCUCAAUUAGGGAUGAAUUCAUGUUUCCCAUCAUGCAAUCGAGACAAUUUAUUGAAUGAAAGAGCAUCAGCCUCGAAAUGUCGCCAAACAGCUCGGAAAAGCCCGUCAAUCCCAAUGAGCACCUACACAUACCGAAGUGGGUGAAUGAGGACUACUUCCUGCCGAUCAUCCAAAAGGAUGUGGACAACUUUGACAAGAUCGUGAACUUUGUGCCCAUUGCGGCCACUGCGCCC